GGGUGGUAAUGCCGGAUGUUCCACAUGAUCGCAUGUGAUUGUGGGAAAGAUUUCAUCGGCGUGGGAUGGGGUCGCGUCCUAUCAGCUUGUUGGUGAGGUAACGGCUCACCAAGGCUUCGACGGGUAGCCGGCCUGAGAGGGCGACCGGCCACAUUGGGACUGAGAUACGGCCCAGACUCCUACGGGAGGCAGCAGUGGGGAAUAUUGCACAAUGGGCGCAAGCCUGAUGCAGCGACGCCGCGUGAGGGAUGGAGGCCUUCGGGUUGUAAACCUCUUUUGUUUGGGAGCAAGCCUUCGGGUGAGUGUACCUUUCGAAUAAGCGCCGGCUAACUACGUGCCAGCAGCCGCGGUAAUACGUAGGGCGCAAGCGUUAUCCGGAUUUAUUGGGCGUAAAGGGCUCGUAGGCGGCUCGUCGCGUCCGGUGUGAAAGUCCAUCGCUUAACGGUGGAUCUGCGCCGGGUACGGGCGGGCUGGAGUGCGGUAGGGGAGACUGGAAUUCCCGGUGUAACGGUGGAAUGUGUAGAUAUCGGAAAGAACACCA
rnacentral:rRNA from 1 species